GAUGAGCGCUAGCGGCAGGCCUAAUACAUGCAAGUCGAACGGGAUCCAGAUCAAAGCUUGCUUUGUUCUGUGGGGGGUGCCGAAGGGGGCGUUAACCGGUAGCAACCCUACCUUUUUCGGGGGGAAGGCCGGGCGAAAGCGGGUUUAAAACCGAAUGACAUCUUUGAAGGGCAUCUUUCGAUGAUCAAAGAUUAACCGACCAAGGUGGGCUUCGGUGACCUUAGCUAGUUGGUAAGGUAACGGCUUACCAAGGCUGCGAUGUCUAGGGGCUCUGAGAGGAGAAUCCCCCACACUGGUACUGAGACACGGACCAGACUCCUACGGGAGGCAGCAGUAAGGAAUAUUGGUCAAUGGACGGAAGUCUGAACCAGCCAUGCCGCGUGCAGGAAGACGGCCCUAUGGGUUGUAAACUGCUUUUAUACGGGAACAAACGUCGGUACGUGUACCGGUCUGAGUGUACCGUAAGAAUAAGGAUCGGCUAACUCCGUG
rnacentral:rRNA from 1 species